UACGGGGGGAGCAAGCGUUGUUCGGAUUUACUGGGCGUAAAGGGCGCGUAGGCGGUCAGCACAAGUCAGUUGUGAAAUCUCCGGGCUUAACUCGGAAAGGUCAACUGAUACUGUGCGACUAGAGUGCAGAAGGGGGCAACUGGAAUUCUCGGUGUAGCGGUGAAAUGCGCAGAUAUCAGGAGGAACACCAAUGGCGAAGGCAGCUCGCUGGGACGGUACUGACGCUGAGGCGCGAAAGCGUGGGGAGCAAACAGG
rnacentral:rRNA from 1 species